rnacentral:rRNA from 1 species
UUCCAGACUCCUACGGGAGGCAGCAGUGGGGAAUAUUGCACAAUGGGGGAAACCCUGAUGCAGCGACGCCGCGUGAGCGAUGAAGUAUUUCGGUAUGUAAAGCUCUAUCAGCAGGGAAGAAGAUGACGGUACCUGACUAAGAAGCCCCGGCUAACUACGUGCCAGCAGCCGCGGUAAUACGUAGGGGGCAAGCGUUAUCCGGAUUUACUGGGUGUAAAGGGAGCGUAGACGGCGAUGCAAGCCAGAUGUGAAAGCCCGGGGCUCAACCCCGGGACUGCAUUUGGAACUGUGUGGCUGGAGUGUCGGAGAGGCAGGCGGAAUUCUUAGUGUAGCGGUGAAAUGCGUAGAUAUUAGGAGGAACACCAGUGGCGAAGGCGGCCUGCUGGACGAUGACUGACGUUGAGGCUCGAAAGCGUGGGGAGCAAACAGGAUUAGAUCCCCCAGUAUG